UGGUAAACCCGGCGUCUUCCAAACGCUUUAUGUCGAUUCGAAUUCGGCUAGCCGCA
rfam:Pseudogymnoascus pannorum VKM F-4246 contig_3617, whole genome shotgun sequence.